GACGAACGCUGGCGGCGUGCCUAAUACAUGCAAGUAGGACGCAGUUGCGAACGGGUGAGUAACGCGUAGGUAACUGCCUAUUAGAGGGGGAUAACUAUUGGAAACGCUAGCUAAUACCGCAUACUAGUAGAUGGACCUGCGUUGUAUUAGGUAGUAGGGAGGGUAAUGGCCUACCUCGGCAAAGAUACAUAGCCGACGGGAGACGGUGAUCGGCCACCCUGGGACUGAGACACGGCCCAGACCCCUACGGGAGGCAGCAGUAGGGGAGAGUCGGAAAUGGGGGGAAAUCUGACUGAGCAACGCCGCGUGAGCGAGGAAGGUGUUCGGAUCGUAAAGCUUUGUUGUUAAGGAAGCGGUAUCUAAUGAGAAAGGGACGGCUAACUACGUGCCAGCAGCCGCGGUAAUUC
rnacentral:rRNA from 1 species